AGGUCAUGGUGUGGGCAGUUUCUUAGUAAGCUCUUGUAUCUCUCCCAAGCUUCAUAUAGCGACUCUCCAGCUUGUUGUUCAAAGUUAGCAAUGGCCUUCUUCAACUU